GCAAAACGCGAAGAACCUUACCAGGUCUUGACAUCCCGGUGACCACUAUGGAGACAUAGUUUCCCCUUCGGGGCGAACGGUGACAGGUGGUGCAUGGUUGUCGUCAGCUCGUGUCGUGAGAUGUUGGGUUAAGUCCCGCAACGAGCGCAACCCUUAUUCUUAGUUGCCAUCAUUCAGUUGGGCACUCUAAGGAGACUGCCGGUGAUAAACCGGAGGAAGGUGGGGAUGACGUCAAAUCAUCAUGCCCCUUAUGACCUGGGCUACACACGUGCUACAAUGGACGGUACAAACGGUUGCCAACCCGCGAGGGGAGCUAAUCCGAUAAAACCGUUCUCAGUUCGGAUUGUAGGCUGCAACUCGCCUACAUGAAGCCGGAAUCGCUAGUAAUCGCGGAUCAGCAUGCCGCGGUGAAUA
rnacentral:rRNA from 1 species